rnacentral:rRNA from 1 species
UGGGGAAUCUUGGACAAUGGGCGCAAGCCUGAUCCAGCCAUGCCGCGUGAGUGACGAAGGCCUUAGGGUUGUAAAGCUCUUUUGGCGGGGAAGAUAAUGACGGUACCCGCAGAAUAAGCUCCGGCUAACUUCGUGCCAGCAGCCGCGGUAAUACGAAGGGAGCUAGCGUUGUUCGGAAUCACUGGGCGUAAAGCGCACGUAGGCGGAUUGUUUAGUCAGGGGUGAAAUCCCGGGGCUCAACCUCGGAACUGCCUUUGAUACUGGCAAUCUCGAGUCCGAUAGAGGUGGGUGGAAUUCCUAGUGUAGAGGUGAAAUUCGUAGAUAUUAGGAAGAACACCGGGUGGCGAAGGCGGCCCACUGGAUCGGUACUGACGCUGAGGUGCGAAAGCGUGGGGAGCAAACAGGAUUAGAUACCCGUGUAGUCCCUGAGCGGGCUGGCAAGGCGCAU